CGUAGGGUGCAAGCGUUAAUCGGAAUUACUGGGCGUAAAGCGUGCGCAGGCGGUUUUGUAAGACAGGCGUGAAAUCCCCGGGCUCAACCUGGGAAUUGCGCUUGUGACUGCAAAGCUGGAGCGCGGCAGAGGGGGAUAGAAUUCCGCGUGUAGCAGUGAAAUGCGUAGAUAUGCGGAGGAACACCGAUGGCGAAGGCAAUCCCCUGGGCCUGCACUGACGCUCAUGCACGAAAGCGUGGGGAGCAAACAGGAUUAGAUACCCUGGUAGUCCACGCCCUAAACGAUGUCAACUGGUUGUUGGGUCUCUUCUGACUCAGUAACGAAGCUAACGCGUGAAGUUGACCGCCUGGGGAGUACGGCCGCAAGGUUA
rnacentral:rRNA from 1 species